GGCUACGUAGCUCAGAUGGUUAGAGCGACGGACUCAUAACCCGUAGGUCGGUGGUUCAAUUCCACCCGUAGCCACCA
rnacentral:tRNA from 1 species